rnacentral:lncRNA from 1 species
CAUUUGAUUCCGUGGAGAGAAAGAUAGAGAGAAGGUUUUUUUUUUCUUUUUUUGAGAGAAAGGUAGCAUGUUACCCACUUCGUUUAUUUCUUUAGAAUUUAGGAAUAAACUUAGCUGGAAAUGUAAAUUAAUUAGGAAUCAAACUUGAGACCUCGAGUACUAAUCACCGAGUAUUUGCCACUUGCGCUAGGGACAGUCGGUAGAGAGAAGGUUUUUGACAAGUAGAUUAUUUAGAAUGGGUGAUAAUAUGGGUUUUUUGUGACUUGUGAGGUGAUCAUAGAGUGAAAAGGAUAGAAAGAGAGAGAGAGAGAGAGAAUUAAAGUGCACGAAGAAGAUAAGGUUUGU